GGGCCCGUAGCUUAGCAAGGUAGAGCGGCGGUCCCAUCCACGGGAAGGUCGAGGGUUCAAUUCCCUCCGGGCCCGCCA
rnacentral:tRNA from 1 species